rnacentral:rRNA from 1 species
GGAUCCCACUGUCCCGAGCCGCGCCUCCGCGAACCUCCAGACUCGGGAACGGGCGAGUGCCGGCCAGCGGGGCAAGAAGACCCUUUUGAGCUUGACUCCAGCCCGGGCCUGUGGGGCGGGGCGGCCGGCGCACGGCACAGGGGAGGCCGCGCCCCUGAGACACCCUGACGGCCGCCGCCGCCCCGCUCACCCGGUCGCGCGGGGACCCGCCCGGGCGGGGAGUUUGGCUGGGGCGGCGCGCCUGCUACACCGGACCGCAGGCGUCCCACGGCGGGCUCAGCGAGGACGGAAACCUCCCGCGGAGCAGAAGGGCACAAGCCCGCCCGACCCGCGCCCCCCGUGCCGGCGCGGGCCGCGAAAGCGGGGCCUACCGAUCCUUCGCCGCCCGGGCCGCGGGCGCGGAGGUGACAGAAAAGUUACCACAGGGAUAACUGGCUUGUGGCCGCCGAGCGCCCGCAGCGACGCGGCUUUUUGAUCCUUCGAUGUCGGCUCUUCCUACCGUCCGCGCGCACCGGCGCGGAAGCGUCGGAUUGUUCACCCGUUCAAGGGAUCGUGAGCUGGGUUUAGACCGUCGUGAGACAGGUUAGUUUUACCCUAUGGCCCCGGGGCCAGAGCACGGCGGGCCAGUACGAGAGGAACGCCCGGCGCGGGCCGCCAGCCCCGCGGUUGCCCGGCCGGGCAGCGCCGCGCCGCCGCGCCCGGGGGCCCUGCGCUGACCGCCUCUAAGCGCGCACCCCGCCUCGCGCCCCGCCCGGCCGCGCGCCCCAGCCCCGUGCCCGCGUCGCCCGGCGGCCGCCGCCCGGGGAGACCACCCGGCGCGGCGCUCCUGUACGGCGCAGAGCCCCGCGAUCGCCUGAGGGACGCGCCCGCAGAGCGCCGGGGGCGGGGCG